rnacentral:rRNA from 1 species
CAGUCGCCACGGUAAUACAGAGGGUGCGAGCGUUAAUCGGAUUUACUGGGCGUAAAGCGUGCGUAGGCGGCUUCUUAAGUCGGAUGUGAAAUCCCUGAGCUUAACUUAGGAAUUGCAUUCGAUACUGGGAAGCUAGAGUAUGGGAGAGGAUGGUAGAAUUCCAGGUGUAGCGGUGAAAUGCGUAGAGAUCUGGAGGAAUACCGAUGGCGAAGGCAGCCAUCUGGCCUAAUACUGACGCUGAGGUACGAAAGCGUGGGGAGCAAACAGGAUUAGAUACCCCCGUAGUCCCUGUCUCUUAUAC